rnacentral:rRNA from 1 species
GAUGAACGCUGGCGGCGUGCUUAACAUAUGCAAGUCGAACGGUGAACACGGAGCUUGCUCUGUGGGAUCAGUGGCGAACGGGUGAGUAACACGUGAGCAACCGCCCCUGACUCUGGGAUAAGCGCUGGAAACGGCGUCUAAUACUGGAUACGAGUAGCGGCCGCAUGGUCAGUUACUGGAAAGAUUUUUUGGUUGGGGAUGUGCUCGCGGCCUAUCAGCUUGUUGGUGAGGUAAUGGCUCACCAAGGCGUCGACGGGUAGCCGGCCUGAGAGGGUGACCGGCCACACUGGGACUGAGACACGGCCCAGACUCCUACGGGAGGCAGCAGUGGGGAAUAUUGCACAAUGGGCGAAAGCCUGAUGCAGCAACGCCGCGUGAGGGAUGACGGCCUUCGGGUUGUAAACCUCUUUUAGCAGGGAAGAAGCGAAAGUGACGGUACCUGCAGAAAAAGCGCCGGCUAACUACGUGCCAGCCGCCGCGGUAA